GCCAGGUGCAGUGGCAUGUGGUGCAGUGUCUCGUGCCUGUAGUCCCAGCUACUCGGGAGGCUGAGGUGGGAGGAUCUCUUGAGCCCAGGAGUUCUGGGCUGUAGUGCACUAUGCUGACCGGGUGUCUGCACUAAGUUCGGCAUCAAUAUGGUGACCUCCCAGGAGCAGGGGACCACCAGGUUGCCUAUGGAGAGGUGAACUGGCCCACGUCAGAUACGGAGCAGGUCAAAACUCCCAUGCUGAUCAGUAGUGGGAUCACACCUGUGAAUAGCCACUGCACUCCAGCCUGGGCAUCAUAGCGAGACCCUGUCUCUU
ensembl:misc_RNA Metazoa_SRP Metazoan signal recognition particle RNA